rnacentral:rRNA from 1 species
UACGUAGGGUGCAAGCGUUGUCCGGAAUUAUUGGGCGUAAAGAGCUCGUAGGCGGUUUGUUGCGUCGGCUGUGAAGUCCCGAGGCUCAACCUCGGGUCUGCAGUCGAUACGAGCAAACUAGAGUGUUGCAGGGGAGACUGGAAUUCCUGGUGUAGCGGUGAAAUGCGCAGAUAUCAGGAGGAACACCGGUGGCGAAGGCGGGUCUCUGGGCAACAACUGACGCUGAGGAGCGAAAGCGUGGGGAGCGAACAGG